rnacentral:rRNA from 1 species
UACAGAGGGUGCGAGCGUUAAUCGGAAUUACUGGGCGUAAAGCGCGCGUAGGCGGCUUUGCAAGUCGGGUGUGAUAUCCCCAGGCUUAACCUGGGAACUGCAUUCGAGACUGCAUUGCUAGAGUAUGGGAGAGGGAAGUGGAAUUCCCGGUGUAGCGGUGAAAUGCGCAGAUAUCGGGAGGAACACCUAUGGCGAAGGCAGCUCGCUGGGACGUUACUGACGCUGAGACGCGAAAGCGUGGGGAGCAAACAGG